UUCAACCAAAAAUAACUUGAAAUGCAUUACCCAAUAUUAAAAAUUCAUCCAGAUUUUACUCAAACAUAACAUAAAUAUUCAAGUACAUAUCCAUUGUCCAAAAUACAAUAAAAAGCAAAACAGAACAAGAAAUUCGCUUGCUUCGUCUUCAUGGACUUGUACCUAAACCUGAAAAUAAAUAAAUAAUAUAUAUUAAUUUAAUAAAUUAUUACAAAAAAAAUAUAAAAUGAGAUCAUCAAC
rnacentral:lncRNA from 1 species